GUGAGAAUAUUCAAAAUUCUCUCUUCUAGCUAUUUUGAAUGACACAAUAUAUUAUUGUUAACUCUAGUUACCCUACUGUGCAACAGAACACCAGAACAUCAUUUGCAGCAAAGGUAAACCUAGAGAGCAUUAUGUUAAAUGAAAUAAACCAAACACAGACGGACAAAUACCUCAAGAUCUCACUCAUAUAUGGAAUCUAAAAAGGUCGAUCUUAGAAUUACAGAGUAGUGUAAUGAUUACCAGAGUCUGGCGAGGCUAGACGUGGUGGCGAUGGGGAAAGGUUGGUCAGUAGGUUCCUCUUCUUUUGUUUAAUGUGAAAUUGGUGCUGUUAAGUUUGGCUUUGAUAUGCCCAGAAACAGUAAAGGAAAGAGGAAAGAGCAUAGUUGUUGGGGGCAGAUGGAUGAGGAGAAACCCAGAGGGCAUAUAGCUCACGGGUAAAAUACUGCAGACAUGUCCCUUAACCGCUUUGAGUCUCCAUUCCUUUAUUUAUAAAAUGGGCAUGAUCAAGUCAACUUUAUGUUUCUGUGAGUUUUACAGUUCUUGCUUUAGAGAAACUUGCCUACUUUCAGGCAUGUUUUCCCAAAAGCAACAUGGUAUCAAAAAACAAAAAGGACUUCCUUCAUCAAAAGAGAUAAUUUAUUUUAAAGACAUUAUUUUCACUUGAACCUAAGUAAACCUGAUGUCAAUAUGAGGCUUUUUCCAUACGUAACCUAUCAAAAGCUAUUGGAAAGGUUGCAAGAGCCAUCUCUCUGUCUCCUCUCUCUCUCUCUCUCUCCCUCAUUUGCUGUCAUGAUUCCUGGACUAGCCCGUCUCUCGACAUUAUAUAGCCUUAGACAACACAGGAUAGAUAGUAGCAUGAAGUGUGCAGAAGUAAGUCCACCAGUAGGAUUGCUAGGGCUAGCCACCCUGUUUUCUCCUUGAACUUGACCACAACAUGUUUUACCUUGUAUCUUGCUCCAAUCACAGCUGUUUCCGUAGAAAAAUCAUUUCUUGUGAUGGACUUUUGUCUCACUGGAGUAACACUCUUUCGUGAGGAUAGCAAAAGUUGUAGGGACAGCCUAAGAUUUUUUUUUUUAAGUGGUUUUGGUUUUGUGUUUAUGGAAUGUUUGUUAGUACAGCAGGAGUGAGACUGGAUAGAGUUGAAGGUGCUGAAAGUGUCAGAUGGCAGAGCUUCGUGGGGGCCCAUGUGAAUGCUUAGAGUUUUGGUAGCCAAAACUCAAGUAAUAUAGGUUAAAACAGGCCAGUUGGCUCAUCCCAAGAAGUGAUGGAAGACUUCUGGCUCUAUCUUUCCAGGAGGCAAGAAGAACAUCAGCUGGCAGCAAACAGCACCGUUCUGUUACCACCCAUCUUUUGCUGUUGUUGGUUUCUCUCAUCUCAAAAGAGAGUCUUAUUAUGUGUCUCGUUUAAAAUAUUCUUUGUGGAUUUCCAACAAAAUCCUCUUAAGUUCUUGAAUCCAAGAGCAGAACAGAAGAGGUGGUUUGCUUCCUAGACUUCCUGAAACAUCAGCUACUUUGAUAAAUAUUUAUUGAGCACUUAUUCUGAGUGACACAUUAAACAGCUAGAUGUUACAGAGGAUGCAUCAAUGAGGGAGAUACAACUCCAUUUCUCAGGGAAAGGGAACAUUUCCGGGAAGUGAGUAGAAAUAAUCAAUGAAGCAUAUACAAAAAUAACUGGAACCAAGGCAGAGUGAGACAGGUGCCAUAGAGGUCCACCCAGUGGUGACAUCAUAUUGGGUUGGAACUUACCAAGCAACAGCUCAUAGGGAAGUCUGCAUUUGAUAGGAAAUAAAGAUAAAUGGGUAAGGUUUUACCUGACUGGGAACAUAAAAUUAUGCAGAUAAGACAAAGCAUGGCUUAAAUUUUGGCUCUAAAGCCCAUCCUUAUCAAGCUAGUUCUCCUGCGACCUAGACCUAGGUUUCAGAACUGGGGCAAUGAUACCACGGGAAGGCAGGUGUGAUGUUGUCUUCUCCCAAGGACCUUCUCCAACCACACUACUCGAAGUGUGUCCAGAAUUGGUGGGCUCUUGGUCUCGCUGACUUCAAGAAUGAAGCCGUGGACCCUCGCGAUUAAACAAGUGCAACUUUCCCAAUCUCACACAACUACUUGUGGAGCCAGGAUUCCAUACAGGCAAUCUUCCACUGAGGAAGAAGAAGAGAGAAGAUUGAAGAGGUGGACCGGCUGCACAUUUCAUCAUGAAGAUUUAUCCGGAGAUCCAAGAGACUGACUCAGGCUAUGAAUCAGCUACGUAAGUUCCAUGAAAGGGCUAUGUCUUCUAAGAAAAAGGAUCACGCUGACCUCCACUUUCAACAAGUUGCCUCUAAGCAUGAAGUGACCCUAAGAGAUAGGAAGAUAAGGAGGUAAUGGGUCUGGUUGAGACCAAGCAUCCAAACUAAGAAAUAAAGUUUGCGUAUGGUAACAACAAUAAUAAUAUUACAAAUGGGACAUAAGACAUAUCUAUAAAGGGAACUAAGGUUUCACUAAUAACACUGCAUCUAAUAUUUCUGUGAAUCCCAAGUGAUUACUCGCAUACUAAAAAGCAACCACCUAACCCUCUUUGUCUGUUUUGUAGUAUAAGAAGGGAUAAAGAGAGAAAUUUGUCCCUGGCAUUACAUUUUCUUAUGCAAACUAAUUUAAAUCACACAUCUCAAUGUUGAAAGCUUGUCUGACAAGCAUUUCCAAAGCACAAAACAAAUCUCAUAACAGGUUAACUUGCACUGGGCUGAUGUUGGCAAAGGACUUUUAGUACUUCUGAGAAGGCUGAAAAAUAAUUUUUCUGCUAGGAAAAAAAAUGUACCCAAAUAUAAUGGUGUAUUAAGGGAUUAGUGCUAGAUUAAAGUAUUCUUUCUUCUCACAACCAGGGACAAUCUUUUGAUCUAAUCUAAGAGGUAAUCUAAUUUUAAUGCAAGUGGAAGAACUGAAAAGCUGCACAGAGUAUAAAAAGAAGGACUAAGGUAGUAGAGAAAGAGGAUCUUCCCUUUGCCAGGUAGGGGAUCCAUCUGAUAAGCUGGUAUAUGCCUUAGACUUACUGCUGUAUGUGUCCUAAUAGUUACGACUCCAUAAGUCACUAAGUAAAGAUACACAUUUAAAACUUGGGGAUUGACACAGCGGGAGCAUGGCUAUCUUGGACAAGCACCACCAUUCUAAAGUUCCCCUUGAUCAAAAACUGCCUAAAUCCAAAGGGCAUCAGCUUAAUGGCUAACGUCAGCAUGACCAUAAACCACAAAUAACAUCCCAGUCCAGAAACAUUCCAACCAUAAGAUAAACCCCUCCCCGACCAGAGACAGGUCAGCCCCAGGAUAACUUCCCUUCCAAACAGAGACAUUCCAACCCCACCAUAAAUUUCUCCCCCACACAGAAACAUUCCAAGCCUGUGAUAAAGCUCUCUCGCCCUAAAACCAAUAAAUACUCUUAGUCUGUAAGAGAGAGUGCUCCUGUCCAAAAAUUGGCCAGAAGCCCCUCUCAGGUUUAUUCUGCAAAAUUAACCUGUCUUUGACUGUUGAGCCGCUUUUCGUGUUUCUUUCCUGUUUCUUUAACUCUUACAGGGAUCUCUUGGUUCAGAACACAUUUGAGGGCCUGUUAUAUACUAGGCAUUAUCAUAUUUCUUGAUUCUUUUAAAUUUCAUUGAUUUUAAUAUCUAAAACUUCCCUAUUAGGUACCUUUUUCAGAUGAAGCAAACUAAAAUUUAGAAAAGUUAAGCAAUUUCCCCAAGGUCAUGUUAGUAUAUAUCUGGGAGAAUAACAAUUUGAAUUCACAUCUUUCCGACUAAGCCAGGCUGAACCCUUAAUGACCUUUCUCAACUAUCAGCUCACCUCUCCCCAUAAUGCAUAUUUUACAGCUCAAAAAGGAGAGGAAGGAAAAACCUUUAAACCCAUUGCUAGAAAGGGUGUAUUACGUACAAGGCAGAAUGGCAAGCACAGGAGAAAUCAUUAAAGAAUGUCAUAAAAGACCAAAAAAAAAAAAAACCCAUCCCAAGAUUUGUCCUCUUAUAUAUUGGGAAAGAGACCCGUUCCCCCACGGCAUGAACCAUCAGGAAAACCGGCUGUCUUUAGAUUUUCAUAAAUAAAUCCUCAGCCUUGGAUUGACAUUUUCUUUAUGAAGCCAUAGAGAAAUAAUUGCUACAUAUUUCAGAAUGUACUAGCUCAGCACUGUCCAAGAGAAACAUAAUGUGAACCACAUAUGCAAUUACGAAUUUCCAAGGAUUCACAUUUAAAAACUGUACAAAGAAAUGUUAAAUUAAUUGUAAUAAUGUAUUUUGUGUAGCCCAAUAUAAUCAAAAUAUUAUUUCAACAUCUAAUGUAUAUAAAAAUUGUUGGAGAUAAUUUAUAUCGUGAUAUGAAGUUUUUACAAUCUAGUAUAUUUUUAUACUUAACAGCACACUGAAACUCAAUGCUAAAUUUUCAGUGCUUUAGGUGAAAUAUAGUUUUAUUAGAACAAAAAUUGUGUUUGAUGAAAACUAUUUUACACUGCUUGAGUUUUUAAAUUUAAAUGGAAAUUAUACUGAAAUAAGAAUUAAAAUUAUCUGCUUAUUCAUACUAGCCAUAUUUUAAUUAUGUAAUAGCUAGUGACUACUAUAUUGAACAGCAGAGUUCUAGACAAAAAGAAAAUAUAAGAUUUUCUCAUGCUACAUCUAAGACAUUCAUAGUAAGCAACUAUGAAAAUGAAAGCUAACUCCAGUGUACUCAAGGCAGAGAAAAUGGAAGACAUUUACCAUAAAUCUUUCAUAUGCCCUUUUAUCUUUUGAUGAUUGUCCACAAUAUGAACAGGACAGGGCAAGUGCUGCAGGUAGGUUGUCUGUUCUUCCAAUACCAUUCUCAUAGAACUGACUGGCUAGAGAAAGGGUGACACUGGCUAAUGUGUCCCGACUCAU
rnacentral:lncRNA from 1 species